UGGCGGACGGGGGAGUAAUGUCUGGGAAACUGCCCGAUGGAGGGGGAUAACUACUGGAAACGGUAGCUAAUACCGCAUAACGUCGCAAGACCAAAGAGGGGGACCGUUCGGGCCUCUUGCCAUCAGAUGAACCCAUAUGGGAUUAGCUAGUAGGUAAGGUAACGGCUUACCUAGGCGACGAUCCCUAGCUGGUCUGAGAGGAUGAUCAGCCACACUGGGACUGAGACACGGCCCAG
rnacentral:rRNA from 1 species